rnacentral:rRNA from 1 species
UACAGAGACUGCAAGCGUUAUUCGGAUUCACUGGGCGUAAAGGGUGCGCAGGCGGUUUGGGUGUGUCAGAUGUGAAAUCCCGAGGCUUAACCUCGGAACUGCGUCUGAAACUACUCGACUAGAGUACUGGAGAGGGAAACGGAAUUCACGGUGUAGCAGUGAAAUGCGUAGAUAUCGUGAGGAACACCAGAGGCGAAGGCGGUUUCCUGGACAGUUACUGACGCUCAGGCACGAAAGCAUGGGGAGCAAAAGGG